UCAUGAUUGCGGGGGGACUCGUCCUGAGUUGAGAAGGUAAAACCUGACCCUUUGAACCUGUUAGUUAAUACUGACGUAGGGAGCAAUACAUCUUGUUAU
rnacentral:ncRNA from 2 species